UACGUAGGGUCCAAGCGUUAUCCGGAAUCACUGGGCGUAAAGGGCGCGUAGGCGGACGGCUUUGUCGGGCGUGAAAUUCCAGGGCUUAACCUUGGGGGUGCGUUCGAGACGGGUUGUCUUGAGUGGGGAAGAGGGUCGUGGAAUUCCCAGUGUAGAGGUGAAAUUCGUAGAUAUUCGCAAGAACACCAGUGGCGAAGGCGGCUCACUGGCCCGAUACUGACGCUGAGGCACGAAAGCGUGGGGGAGCAAACAGGG
rnacentral:rRNA from 1 species